CGAAUGCGAUACGCAUUGUGAUUGCAGAUUUCAGUGAACCAUCAGAUUUCCGAACGCAUAUGGCGCUGUAGGGACUUCCCUGCAGCACGUCUGUUUCAGUGUCUUU
rnacentral:rRNA from 1 species